GGGCGGUUAGCUCAGGGGUAGAGCACCGGUUUUACACGCCGGCUGUCACAGGUUCAAAUCCUGUACCGCCCACCA
rnacentral:tRNA from 1 species